rnacentral:lncRNA from 10 species
ACCACAGUCAUUCUCCUGAAAUGCACAGCUGAGGGAAAGAAGAAUGUCAGAUGCCCCGCGAACGUGCAGAAGCUCCCAGUUGCAUCACCCUGGCGUGCCAGGUAUUGCAGCAAAUAGGAAAGCUCUCUUUUUGCCUGCUGCCAUCCAUGUGAGAUGUGACUUGCUCCUCGUUGCCUUCUGCCAUGAUUGUGAAGCCUCCCCAGCCAUUUGGAACUGAACUUGACAUCAUCAGACAGUAAAUCAAGAGGUACUGACAACUGAGACUGAGUGAUGGUCCCUGCCUAGGAUUUGGAAUCUUUGCAUGAAAUAGGGACUCUAGCCACCAGCGACAAAGAAGUCAGGGAGACUGC